rnacentral:rRNA from 1 species
UACGGAGGUGGCAAGCGUUGUUCGGAAUUACUGGGCGUAAAGGGCGCGUAGGCGGCUUGGCAAGUCAGAUGUGAAAGCCCCGGGCUUAACUCGGGAAUUGCAUCUGAAACUGCUUUGCUUGAGUCCCGGAGGGGGUAGUGGAAUUCCCAGUGUAGCGGUGAAAUGCGUAGAUAUUGGGAGGAACACCUGUGGCGAAGGCGGCUACCUGGACGGUGACUGACGCUGAUGCGCGAAAGCUAGGGGAGCAAACGGG